rnacentral:rRNA from 1 species
AUUGAACGCUGGCGGCAUGCCUUACACAUGCAAGUCGAACGGCAGCGGGGACUUCGGUCCGCCGGCGAGUGGCGAACGGGUGAGUAACGUAUCGGAACGUACCUUUCAGUGGGGGAUAACGUAGCGAAAGUUACGCUAAUACCGCAUAUUCUGUGAGCAGGAAAGCAGGGGAUCGCAAGACCUUGCGCUGAUUGAGCGGCCGAUAUCAGAUUAGCUAGUUGGUGAGGUAAAGGCUCACCAAGGCGACGAUCUGUAGCGGGUCUGAGUGGAUGAUCCGCCACACUUGAACUGAGACACGGUCCAGACUCCUACGGGAGGCAGCAGUGGGGAAUUUUGGACAAUGGGGGCAACCCUGAUCCAGCCAUGCCGCGUGAGUGAAGAAGGCCUUCGGGUUGUAAAGCUCUUUCGGCCGGGAAGAAAUCGUACGGGUUAAUACCCUGUGCGGAUGACGGUACCGGCAUAAGAAGCACCGGCUAACUACGUGCCAGCCGCCGCGGUAAAAC